rnacentral:lncRNA from 13 species
CCAGAUCACCUUUAUUUAACCAGGUAGGCCAGUUGAGAACAAGUUCUCAUUUACAACUGUGACUUGGCCAAGAUAAAGCAAAGCAGUGCGACGAGAUUAUUCCGUUUGAAUUGAUGGACAAUGUGAAACUAAAUUAUCCAAGCCAGCACAGAACGUUUCUGGUUGGCCCGACAGUGUGAAUCAGGGACCAGACGUCUCCUUUUGGCUGAUCUCUACCCCCUUGUUGCCCCAAACUCUUCCUAUUGGCUGAGCUCUACCUGCUUUUUCCCAUAAGCCAGUAUGGCUCCCGUCAGGUCCCGCAGAGUGUUCAGCUGGAGCUCCACUUCCUGUCUGGAAUGUUGGGAGGCCUGCCCCUUCCUGAUGUCCUCUGACACUGAGGGGCAUGAUGACAGAAACGAUGACGUCAUGGCCAUUUCCUGGUAGUAUAAGAAGAGCGGUCCCUGUCUUGUGCUGUAGGUUUUAGGGAGCGCUGGCUCCUCCCCGCCCAGCAGACGGCCACUCUUAGAUAAGCGGAGCAGGGGGGGCUGAGACUUCCAAUGAUAGUAGUCCUAAGUAGAAAGAAAACAUUUGUAUUGUCAACACUUUAUCAUAACUUCCACAUGUCAUUGUUAUUUGAGUCUUCAAUAAAUUCAUCAACUCACUUUAAGGGGUAACACUUUAAUUAAAGCCUGCAGAUAUAAUGCUUUAUAAUGUGCUAUAACUUGCUUUCUGACUGAAUGAAGUGUAAAAGGACCUGAAAUUUACCUUAGGUUCGAAGUAGACUUCCAGGCGUCCAUCUUGACUACCCAGAUGAGACUGGACAACAUGACCACAGCCUCGACUGAGUAGCGAUAGAGCAAUAUCUUUCAUGACUAAAACCCUGCUGCUUCUUAAAACACUAAGGAAUAACAGUUAGAUACGGUCCUCUCAGACAAAUCCUGCUCCAGACACUGUCCUCUCAGACAAAUCCUGCUCCAGACACUGUCCUUUCAGACAAAUCCUGCUCCAGACACUGUCCUCUCAGGCAAAUCCUGUUCCAGACACUGUCCUCUCAGACAAAUCCUGCUCCAGACACUGUCCUUUCAGACAAAUCCUGUUCUAGAUUACUGUCCUCUGAGACAAAUCCUGUUCUAGAUACUGUCCUCUCAGACAAAUCCUGCUCCAAACACUGUCCUUUCAGACAAGUCCUGCUCUUUUGUAGAAGAAAGAUCCUCAGGAGAGCAGUUUCAUUCCCCUGUCUCUAUAAAACAAACAAAAACAAGUAUGUAAUUUUACUAAAAAUAACAUUAAAUCAAACAUUUCAAAGCAUAAAAACUUAAAGGAAAAUGCUCUCUUCUAGGAGCUUUGUACCAUUCUGCUGUGGCAUUAAAAUAGAACUGACUGAAUUUGUUAACUGGUGAAUGUGAGUCGUCAAAAGUGAAUAGCCUCUCUGCCCCUCUGUGUCUGUCUGUCCUUAAUGCUUGUGUUUGCCGAGUUGCUGUUGCUAAGUGUUGCU